rnacentral:rRNA from 1 species
AUCGGGACAACUAGCCGAAAGGUUAGCUAAUACCGGGUAUGACCACGGCCAGUAUCAUCUGGCUGCGGUAAGAGCAGGGGACCGCAAGGCCUUGCGCUUGGAGAUGAGUCCGCGGCUGAUUAGCUAGUUGGCGGGGUAAUGGCCCACCAAGGCGACGAUCAGUAGCCGGCCUGAGAGGGUGACCGGCCACACUGGGACUGAGACACGGCCCAG